rnacentral:ncRNA from 1 species
GAUGAACCCUAAAAAGUUCUAAGAGCAUAAAGGUUUGGUCCUAGCCUUAUCAUCAAUUGUCUUUCAACUUACACAUGCAAGUCUCAGCACCCCCGUGAGGAAGCCCUUAAACCCUUCUCCAGGAUAAGGAGCCGGUAUCAGGCUCAACCUUUUGCCCACAACACCUAGUCUUACCACGCCCCCAAGGGUCAUCAGCAGUGAUAAACAUUAUUAAUAAGCGUUAGCUUGACUCAGUUAGAAAGAAGAAAGUUGGCCAACUUGGUGCCAGCCGCCGCGGCUACACCCUAUGGACUUAAAUUGAUGGUCAUCGGCGUUAAGCGUGAUUAAAGUACCCAUAUAAUUAGAGUAAAACCCUUUACCCAGCUGUGAAAAGCAUGUACUGCGGAAUUCCAUAAACGAAAGUUACUCUAACCUGAGACUUGAAUACACGGCAGCUAGGAGCACAAACUGGGAUUAGUUACCCCACUAUGCCUAGCCGUAAAUACACUCACAUCUUAAACGCCUGGGAACUACGGGCUUAGCCUAAAACCCAAAGGACUUGACGGUGUCCCACCCAACUAGAGGAGCCUGUUCUACAAUCGAUAACCCCCGUUAAACCUGACCUCUUUUUGCCUUUCAGCCUGUAUACCUCCGUCGUAAAUUUACCGCGUGAGUGAAAAAUAGUACAAUUCAAUGUACCUCACCAAAACGUCAGGUCAAGGUGCAGCCUAUAAAGAGGGAAGCAAUGGGCUACAAUUUCUAACAUAGAACAAACGAACUACUACAUGAAACCCAGCUAUGAAGGAGGAUUUAGCAGUAAAGAGAAAUUAGUGUGUUCUCUUUAACACGGCCCUGGGACGCGUACACACCGCCCGUCGCCCUCUUCGAAAAACCACAAAUAACUAUCUAAUCUAUAACCAAAAUAAAGAA